UACGUAGGGGGCCAGCGUUGUCCGGAUUCAUUGGGCGUAAAGCGCGCGCAGGCGGUUUGUCAGGUUGCCCGUGAAAUCUCCUGGCUCAACUGGGAGGGGACGGGCAAGGACCGACAGGCUGGAGGUCGGCAGGGGGAAGCGGAAUUCCCGGUGUAGUGGUGGAAUGCGUAGAGAUCGGGAGGAACACCAGUGGCGAAGGCGGCUUCCUGGGCCGAGCCUGACGCUGAGGCGCGAAAGCGUGGGGAGCGAUCCGG
rnacentral:rRNA from 1 species